CAGCUUUCAGUAUAUUGCCUUACAUACUCGGUACAUUAUUUUGUACUGACGUCCCUUUCUGAGGGUGCUGCAUUUCAUGUGUUCCUAUUAGCCCUUAUCUAUUCCAUUAUACCGUAUGACUCCAGCUGAGUUGAAGCAUUUGAAGGAGCAAUUGCAAGAUUCGCUUGAUAAGGGAUUAAUUAGACUGAGUGUUUCUCCUUGGGUUGCACUAGUGUUGUUUAUAAAGAAGAAGGAUGGCACUAUGAGGAUGUGCAUUGAUUAUAGGUAUUUGAAUAAGAUUACUGUCAAGAACAAGUAUCCAUUGCCUCGUAUUUAUUUUUUGUUUGAUCAUUUUCAAGAUACUAGGUUGUUCUCUAAGAUUGACUUGAGAUCGGGUUAUCAUCAGGUGAAUAUUAGGGCUUUGGAUAACCCUAAGAAGGCUUUUAUGACUCGUUAUGUUCAUUAUAAGUUCUUAGUGAUGUCAUUUAGCUUGACUAAUUCUCUAGCGGAAUCAUGGAUUUGAUGAACAAGGUAUUCAAGUCUUAUUUGGAUACUUUUAUGCUAGUGUUCAUUGAUUAAAUCUUGGUUUACUCUUGUAGUAGGAGGAGCAUAAGCAACAUUUGAGGAUUGUGCUUCAGAUUUUGAGGAAAGGGAAACUUUAUGCUAAGUUCUCCAAAUAUGAGUUUUGGUAAGACUAGUUGUAUUCUUGGGUCACGUGGUGUCUGGUGAAGGUAUUAAGGUUGAUCCCAAUAGGAUUGAGGCAGUUAAGAAUUGGCCUAGACCUACUACAACUAUGUAUAUUUAGAGUUUCUUGGGUUUGGCAGGCUAGUACCGUCAUUUUGUAAAGGAAUUUUCAUCUAUUGCAGCUCCAUUGAUUAAGUUGAGUCAGAAAGGUUUUCUUUUUAGAUGGUCUGAUGAGUGUGAGGAGACUCAUUAGAAGCUCAAGCCUGCUUAGACUUCGGGUCGUGACAUCAAUUUUCUUCAUGACUCAUUGUGCCUGAAAUACUAGCAAUACACACCAUAAAUUAUCUCAUAUUAUAAUUAAAGGAUACAAAAAUUAAAGCAAAGAGACUAGAAUAAAUGAUAAAAUCACCGCUUAUCAACACCUCUACUUAAAGUCUUUGCUUGUCCUCAAGCAAAUCAAAACAAAACACUCAAUGAGGCUCUACCAUUUAAAUCUCAAUUAGUAUUGCUAUCAUUCCAAAAUCAUAUUCUCCAAUUAAUCACAAUACUUAUGGCUUUGGUUGGUACUAAUAAUUAGGCUACAAGUAUGUGAACUUUAACCAAAUAACUCCCUCAUUUAAAAACACAAUCUCAAUAAUGCAAUGGAGUUUCAAAAUAUUCAAGUGACAAAAACCAAGCAUCAAGAAGUGACUCAAAAGUACUAGUCUACUAAAUAUGCAUAUUUGUCUCAAUUGGGGAUUAUUAACGUUACCAAUCAAUCAUAAUUCAUAUGCCCUCACAAUAAAGAAAGUUCCAAAUUCACCAUAUUCACAACAACAACACAAGGAAUAUUUGCACAAAGUCUCACUCUCAACGAAAAAGUUCUAGUGCUAACAAAUAUAAUACCAUUUGGUUGGAUCACAUAAGGAUUAUUUAAACUUGUAAUGUAGGCUUAGGGAAGGAUAGGAUAAGCAUUUGGGAUGCAAGUUACAACAUCCUAUACCAACAUUUUUCUUUCUUUUUUGUAAUUCACUUUUUUUAAACCACAUAAUCCUUAUUGACCUUUAGUUUCAAACAUUGAAGCACCCUGAAUUUCGUAAUUACCUCUAAUUGUGCUUCCUCAUCACUGAUGUGUAGAACUCUGAGCCCCAUCAUCACCAGCAUCAUGAUCAUCAUCAUCAUCCAAUACGAAAGAAUACUCCUCACUGUCAUCCUCGUCCUCAAUCGGUACCUUCUUAUUCGGUUGCCCCCAUUUAAAGAUUGCAUUGAUGCCUCUCUAUAUUUUGACCAUGAAAUUGCUCUUGUUCUUGUGUUUCUUUUUCUCUGCUUUGAAAUCUGCCUGAAGAGAGACAUGUGCCUUGGACAUAUUCCCAUAUGUUGUCUCAAGCCUGUUAACAACAACUUCUAAUUUCUCAUGUAACUCUGCCUAUUUUUUCUAGCUCUUCAAAGAACUACCCUCUCCUUCUACUCUCAACGGAUGCAAGUAUCUAAUGAUCAGUUCCAUGCACAUCCACAUUUGCCCGCUGGCACAACUCAGCGAUGACAAUCAACGGACAUUAAUCUAAAGUAUCAUACUGCUCCAACAUAGCCUUCUAUUCAAUUUCGUGCCAUCAGCCACAACUUCAUUCAUGCUAGAAUCCAUUUUCACAGCUCAAAGUACUUCAAAAAAAUCAAAACCAAGUUAGACGUGCAUUAGAAUCAUGUUAAGUAAUUUAGAACACAGCAAUUUAGCCAAAGAAUAAGCCAAAGGGGCCCAACAAGCCUUAGUUUCAAAGCUACUGGUUUACCGAAAAUUACACAGCCAUCGCACCUGUGAAAAAACUAGCGCAGGUGCAGCAUCGCUUCAGCGAAAAACGAAUCCCUUCUGCGACAUUUCACUAUUUAAACUUCACAUAUGAGGAAGAUUCAUCGCAGGUGCGAGGCCGCAUCUGCGGCAAUUCUUUAAUCAGAAUUUCAAAAAGCAAGAAGCUGACAAUUGUUUUAAUUCAAAUCAUGAUUUUUGCACAAAAUUUAUACUCAAGACUUCUAAAGUAUUAUAAUACAUGAAUUCAAGACUUGAUUCCACAUUAUUUCAAGACAAACGACAAAUAUAUUUCUCUAAGCCAAAUCGUCGAACACUUAACGAGCACAGAGAAUGCUUUGAUUCUUUUAAACUAAUCAGGCACUCAGACUUCUCCUAUUAUUUUUGUUCAACAAAACACCACACACAAUUACACUCAACCUAUUUUCUCACCCUAAAACUAAAAUCAAUAGAGAGGAAAAGAGGGGCUUAGGGAAAUAGCUAUUGUGAAGAUAGAGAAGAAGAAGAGAGAAGAGCUGAGAGGAAGAACGAAAUAGAACAAGAAGAGAAUGGGGAAUUACCUGGUUCCCCUGGAUGGUGAUGUGCCAGUGGUUGUGCAAUGGUGCAAUAGGAGAGGCGUUUGGGGUUGGGAGAAAAAGGGAUUUAGUUUUAUCUAAUAAAGGAUUCAUUAAAUUGACCUGACAAAGCACACCUGCAAAAUAUUUACCGCUUUUGUGACAACAAUUCCGCUUCUGUGAAAAAAACACAUCUUCAAUGUGGCAUGCACAUCUGCGCUUUAUUUUUUAUUGAUGCGGUUGCAAAAGAUAUCUAGUAGAAAAGUUGAUAGCCACUAUUUUGGCUUGUCUCCAGCACCUCAACCUGCUCAAUCCAAC
rnacentral:lncRNA from 1 species